rnacentral:misc_RNA from 1 species
CACAGAACAAAUUGGGCGUUGGAUUAAGAAUAUAACAGAAAAGGCCUGGUUAGCCUCCUGAAUUACAAGCAAUAUAUAACAAUGAUACAGAACAGAUCCCUCCCCUAGUUAAAAAGGAUAUAAUACAUUCUCUCUCCCUUCCUACUCUUCAAAACUGAGCACAUCUGCUGAAAACAAGGAAUCUACUCAUCAGUCCUCAUUGAACAAACCUAAUAAAUAAUUGGUCAAAUAUUAAAGGUCUUGGGUAAGAAGGAUGACAAUAAAAACCAAAUACAGAAUCCAUCCAGUAUCAAAGCAAUCAACUGUUACAAGAGAAAAGCAACCCAAAACAGCAUCACCAACACAUUAAAUAUCGUUGCUGACAACCAAGAAUCCUUAAAAAGUCUAUUUCUAUUGUAAAUCCUUAACCCCAAUUAUACCUUCUAUGAGGUUUCUCUAAUUGAUUG